rnacentral:tRNA from 1 species
GCCCGGGUGGUGAAAUCGGUAGACACGCAGGACUUAAAAUCCUGUGAGCAGUGAUGCUUGUGCGGGUUCAAGUCCCGCCCCGGGUA